ensembl:snoRNA SNORD73 Small nucleolar RNA SNORD73
AACAGGUGAUGAAAAAAAGUUUCGGUCCCAGAUGAUGUCUAGUGAUAAUUAAACAUUUUUCUGAUGUU